UUUGUGUAAGUAACCUGAUAUUUUUCUUUUUCUUUCAGUUCAGGGAAAUUUUUUAUGUGUUUGCCUCUAAUACGGUUAUACCAUGAUGAUCUUUUAGGAUUAAAGAGAAUUAGCUAAACUGAAGUAUGUAGAUAUUUUGAUAUAUUACUAAAAACACUUCCCGUCGAGCAAAAGUGGGUCUGUAUUCGGUAACAAGUACCAACUGAGAUUAAUCUUGCCUAUAUUUAUAAUGUGGUGAUUUAGUGUACUGGAUUUUUGUGUGUAGAACAAGCAUGAUGAUUGAUUUCAUGAUGCAUAUGCUUGGAUGAUUUUGAAUGAGAUGGAUUCAUGUGGACUGUUAGGUUCAGACUUACUGAUAGACAAGUAACUUGGUCUCUUGCUCUUCACAUGGUGUGUAAUUACCUUCUGAUCUUACAUAUGUGUUAACACAUUGUCAGUAAAGGUGCGCCGUGGAAAAUAUACUGAGAUGGCGACUAAUCAUGUCCUGCAUGGUGUCUGGCUGCGUGAGCUUGAAGAACCAGUGAUCCAUUGGCAUGGUAAAUUAUGAACCUAGGUGCUCUUUACUCUGGUCUCCAUCGGGAGGUUACAUGUCUCAGGGUUUUGCAAGCAGCCAACUAGGGUAUAUGGGGAGUAAUGCAUGUUUCCAUCCCUGGAUUCGUGAGAGAUCAAAAUGUUGCUACAACAUCCACGAGUGUAAAUUUGAAGUGUCAGAGCCUACCUUUUGGUUAUGUACUGCAAGAUUUUGAAUUAAUUACUUAGUUCUCACAGAUUGAUCAAAAUUUUGCUACAACGAGUGUAACUUUGAGUCAGAGGGUACCUCUUGGUUAUGUACUGCAAGAUUUUGAAUUAAUGACUUAGGUCUCACAGAUUCACAUGGGUUCAUUUUUUUAAGAUAAAUGUAAUAGAUAUGGUCGCACUAUUGCCUGCUA